CUCAAAUGUCAUCAAAUCUGUGGUGCGUUUGCUCUUCCACUGUGUUCACAACACUCUGUUUCCUUAUUCUUUUUCUACAGCCAGUUUUUUUGUGCUUCCAUACUAUACUCACCUGGAGGCUCCUCAGAUGAAAACAUUUUACUUGUCUCUUAUUCAGCAACUAGCAGUGAAUACACAUAAUAAACAUACUAUUACAUGUUAAAUUUAAAUGCUUUUUGGUGAUAUAACAAUCUCUGUAUAAAAACAAGAAAUCUUCUGCAUCCGUGGAUGUUUUAUUGCCCUUGUCUAGCUUGUAUUAACACAUAGUCUACAGGCACACACCUGAUCAUCUACAUUUGCUCUCUUACAACACUAAACUAUGUUUUCUACCUUUAUCUUGCAUCUACCUACCACUUCAGCAUUUUAUUAAAAAUAAUAAUAAUAAUAAUAAUAAAGGGAGAAAUGUGGGAUCCACAUAUAAAUCAAGUAUAAAAACCAAACGAAUAUUCAUAUUUGACCUGAUUGUUUAUAGUUCAUAAUGCAUGAGCAAAACCGAAAGUUUCUGUGAUGACUGCCCUUGUACUGUUCACCAUGUAAGAACUUAUUCACUAUGUAAGAAUUUGUUCACCAUGGAAGAA